rnacentral:rRNA from 1 species
GAAUUCAUUAGUGAUUGGCCUAACACAUGCAAGUCGAGCGGUAGAGAGAAGCUUGCUUCUCUUGAGAGCGGCGGACGGGUGAGUAAUGCCUAGGAAUCUGCCUGGUAGUGGGGGAUAACGUUCGGAAACGGACGCUAAUACCGCAUACGUCCUACGGGAGAAAGCAGGGGACCUUCGGGCCUUGCGCUAUCAGAUGAGCCUAGGUCGGAUUAGCUAGUUGGUGAGGUAAUGGCUCACCAAGGCUACGAUCCGUAACUGGUCUGAGAGGAUGAUCAGUCACACUGGAACUGAGACACGGUCCAGACUCCUACGGGAGGCAGCAGUGGGGAAUAUUGGGCAAUGGGCGAAAGCCUGAUCCAGCCAGGCCGCGUGUGUGAAGAAGGUCUUCGGAUGUAAAUCAAUGGAGUUGGGAGGAAGGGCAUUACCUAAUACGUUA